CAAACUUAACCCUCAUCUGGAUGUUAGCUUUCCGACUUCCAUGUUUUUCCACAGGCAGAUAUCCCAUAUCCUUCAAGAAUACAACAUGGCAAAGGCUGAUUUUCCAUCCUGCCACUUUCCCUCCUGGACAUUACCUUGGUCAGAACAGCACUUUUAACAGGGAACUUCCCUCUCCCACACACAGCUAUGAAUCUUUGGACAAUUGGUGUCAUUAAGAAUUUUAUCCACAAUAAAAUAAGGAAAGAAGUGUUUUCUUUCCUUUGCAAGAGC